rnacentral:antisense_RNA from 1 species
CUUGAGCGCACCCAGCAGCAGCGGCCGCUCCUGCGGCCGGUUCUGACCGUAGGUCGCGAGCAGCGCCUGCGCCUC